rnacentral:rRNA from 1 species
CAAUAGCGUAUAUUAAAGUUGUUGCAGUUAAAAAGCUCGUAGUUGGAUUUCUGGUUUCGAUACUUGGUCCUUUAGUUAAUUCUAUUGUGUACUUUAGUGUUGAUCCAUUUUUGUGAGAUGUUUAUCUGGCAUUAAGUUGUUGGGUAAAUGAUCUUGCAUCUUUUACUGUGAAAAAAUUAGAGUGUUUAAAGCAGGCGUUAUUGCCGUUGAAUACAUUAGCAUGGAAUAAUAAGAUAGGACCUCGGUUCUAUUUUGUUGGUUUUGAGAGCUGGGGCAGCGAUUGAUAGGGACGGAUGGGGGCGUCCGAACUUUACUGUCAGAGGUGAAAUUCUUAGAUCGGUCAAAGGCGAACUGCUGCGAACGCAUUCGCCAAGAAUGUUUUCUUUA